CCUACGGGGGGCAGCAGUGAGGAAUAUUGGUCAAUGGACGAGAGUCUGAACCAGCCAAGUCGCGUGAAGGAUGACUGCCCUAUGGGUUGUAAACUUCUUUUAUAUGGGAAUAAACUGUUAAACGUGUGGGAUUUUGUCAGUACCAUAUGAAUAAGGAUCGGCUAACUCCGUGCCAGCAGCCGCGGUAAUACGGAGGAUCCGAGCGUUAGCCGGAUUUAUUGGGUUUAAAGGGAGCGUAGGUGGUUUGUUAAGUCAGUUGUGAAAGUUGGCGGCUCAACCGGAAAAUUGCAGUUGAAACUGGCAGGCUAGAGUACAGUAGAGGUAGGCGGAAUUCGUGGUGUAGCGGUGAAAUGCUUAGAUAUCACGAAGAACUCCGAUUGCGAAGGCAGCUCACUGGACUGCAACUGACACUGAGGCUCGAAAGUGUGGGGAGCAAACAGGAUUAGAUACCCUAGUAGUC
rnacentral:rRNA from 1 species